rnacentral:rRNA from 1 species
UACGUAGGGGGGCUAGCGUUGUCCGGAAUCAUUGGGCGUAAAGCGCGUGUAGGCGGUCCGGUAAGUCUGCUGUGAAAGUCGGGGGCUCAACCCUCGGAUGCCGGUGGAUACUGUCGGGCUUGAGUACGGAAGAGGCGAGUGGAAUUCCUGGUGUAGCGGUGAAAUGCGCAGAUAUCAGGAGGAACACCAAUUGCGAAGGCAGCUCGCUGGGACGUUACUGACGCUGAGACGCGAAAGCGUGGGGAGCAAACAGG